rnacentral:rRNA from 1 species
GCCAGCGGUGCUAGCCCGUUGAACACACCAGUUUCGGACGGAUCACCGAAGUUAAGCAACGUUGGGCGUUCUUCGUAUGCAGAUGGGUACCCAUUUAGGCAAUUGCGUGCUGCUGGCU